rnacentral:sRNA from 1 species
CAGUGAGGGCAGGGUGAGAACCCUCGCAGGUUCGAGUCGAACGUAGUGAGACAACGUCGGAGCCUGCGACGACGGCCCGAAGGGCGCGAGUCAUCCCUCCCUCACCGCC